rnacentral:lncRNA from 1 species
GCCCAUUCCUUAAUCCUUAUCAUCAAAUCCAACAUUAUUUCAUUAUCAUCAUCUGUACUCAUGAUCCAUUCCAAACAUACAGUAUUAUUAUCAAUCAAAGAUAGAGACUUAGUUAAAAUUCCCACAAUAUACUGCCCCUGUUCCACGGUGCUCUCUCUACUCUUUGUGUACCCUGUCAACUCUCUCUCUCUCUCAACUUCAUCUGUCUCUGCACUUCACAUUUGCAACAGAGAGUGAAUCUCAUCCCCAACUAUCAAAUCCCAAAUCCCUCUUCUUCUUCUUCUUCUUCUUCUUCUUCUUCUUCUUCUUCUCCCUUCUUAAUUUACGGCGAAUACCCAGAACGGUUUGUUCUCUCAUCAAUCAGCCGUCCGACUAUAUCUCACCGUCGUUCCCUAUCGUUGACCACACUCCUCAGCUCGGCCUGACAAUCAGCAGCUAACAAAACUGCGCCGCCGCCGACCAGCACUCUCAACACAGACAACAACACAAGAAAUUGAGCCACAACUCAGCCAAGACUGGUCGUUCCCAAUCGUCGACCCACCCUGCACACCUAAGCUGCUGACGAUGCAGCAGCUUAGUUCUAUAGUUCUAUUGUGUUGUGCUGUGCUCUGUUUUGUGAAAAAAUUCUAGGGUUCAUCAGAAAAUUUAACGAUAAAAUACAGGUUUACGAAAUCAAAGCUCACCUCCUUGUUUUGUUGGUGCAAUGGAUUUCUUUGGUGUGAUUUUUGGUUGAAUUUUGAUCAGACUUUG